rnacentral:tRNA from 1 species
AUUCUUUAAGUUUUAAAAAACAUUAGAUUGCAAAUCUGAAAUUUGAAAGAAUG